rnacentral:rRNA from 1 species
CAAGUCGCGUGCGCAGUUUCCGUAGCAAUACGGAGAUGGGCGCACGGCGCACGGGUGCGUAACACGUGGGCAAUCUGCCCUUUGAUGGGGAAUAACCCGCCGAAAGGCGGGCUAAUUCCGCAUAAGAUUCUUUGGACUUCGGUCUGAAGAUUGAAAGCAGCAAUGCGUCGAAGGAGGAGCCCGCGCCCGAUUAGCUAGUUGAUGAGGUAACGGCUCACCAAGGCAAUGAUCGGUAGCUGGUCUGAGAGGAUGAUCAGCCACACUGGAACCGAGACACGGUCCAGACUCCUACGGGAGGCAGCAGUGGGGAAUCUUGCACAAUGGGCGAAAGCCUGAUGCAGCGACGCCGCGUGGGGGAUGAAGCAUUUCGGUGUGUAAACCCCUUUCGACUGGGACGAAUGCCUCGCAAGAGGAGUGACGGUACCAGUAGAAGAAGCCCCGGCUAACUACGUGCCAGCAGCCGCGGUAAGACGUAGGGGGCCAGCGUUGUUCGGAAUUACUGGGUGUAAAGGGUUCGUAGGCGGUGCGGCAAGUUGGGAGUGAAAUCUUUGGGCUUAACCCAGAGGCUGCUUCCAAAACUGCUGUGCUCGAGUGUGAGAGAGGCGCGUGGAAUUGCAGGUGUAGCGGUGAAAUGCGUAGAUAUCUGCAGGAACACCCGUGGCGAAAGCGGCGCGCUGGAUCACUACUGACGCUGAGGAACGAAAGCUAGGGGAGCAAACAGGAUUAGAUACCCUGGUAGUCCUAGCCCUAAACGAUCAGGACUUGGGGUGCCGCCCGUUCGGGCGUCGUCCCGGAGCUAACGCGUUAAGUCCUGCACCUGGGGAGUACGGUCGCAAGACUGAAACUCAAAGGAAUUGAC